rnacentral:rRNA from 1 species
CCCGCUGAACUUAAGCAUAUCAAUAAGCGGAGGAAAAGAAACUAACAAGGAUUCCCCUAGUAACUGCGAGUGAAGCGGGAAAAGCUCAAAUUUAAAAUCUGGCAGUCUCUGGCUGUCCGAGUUGUAAUCUAGAGAAGCGUCUUCCGCGCUGGACCGUGUACAAGUCUCCUGGAAGGGGGCGUCAUAGAGGGUGAGAAUCCCGUCUUUGACACGGACUACCAGGGCUAUGGGAUGCGCUCUCCACGAGGCGAGGUGGUUGGGAAUGCCGCUCAAAAUGGGUGGGAGAUUCCAUCUUAAGCUUAAUACUGGCGAAAGACCCAUAGCGAACAAGUACCGUGAGGGAAAGAUGAAAAGAACUUUGGAAAGAGAGGUAAACACGUACGUGAAAUUGCUGAAAGGGAAACCCUUGAAGGCCGGCACGUUGGACAGGGAUCUCACCUUGCUUUUGCUUGGUGUACUUUCUGGGUGAUGGGUCACCAUCCAUUUUGACCAUUGGAAUAAGGUCAAGGGAAUGUGGCAUCUUCUGAUGUGUUAUAGCCCUCGGUUGCCUACAAUGAGUGUUAUUGAUGAACUCAUCACGCCGCACGUCAGGGUUGUUAACCACGUACGUGCUUAGGAUGCUGCUUAAAUGGCUGUAAUCGACCCGUCUUGCGACACG